rnacentral:siRNA from 1 species
UCCUAGUGUUUCUCCUGAUCGAUA